AACGAACGCUGGCGGCAUGCCUAACACAUGCAAGUCGAACGAUGCUUUCGGGCAUAGUGGCGCACGUGUGCGUAACGCGUGGGAAUCUGCCCUUGGGUUCGGUAUAACAGUGAGAAAUUGCUGCUAAUACCGGUUGAUGUCUUCGGACCAAAGAUGUAUCGCCCAGGGAUGGGCGCGCGUAGGAUUAGCUAGUUGGUGGGGUAAUGGCAUACCAAGGCGACGAUCCUUAGCUGGUCGGUGAGGAUGAUCAGCUAGACUGGGACUGAGGCACAGCCCAGACAGCGACGCGAAGGAGCGGAAGGGAGCACUGUACGAGGAAGGCUAGCCUGAUCCAGCAAUGCGGGGGAAGUGAGGAAGGCGGUAGUGAUGUAAUGCUGCCUUACCCGAGAUGAGAAUGACAGUACCGGGAGAAGAAGCUCCGGCUAACUCCGUG
rnacentral:rRNA from 1 species